AAAAGCUCGUAGUUGGAUCUCAGCUCCGGCCGGACGGUCCGCCUACCGGCGGUUACUGUUCGUCGCCGAGCGUUCAGACAGUUGUGAUCGUUGAUCUUCACCGGUUGACAUUUUCAAUUGUCAAGUUUACUUUGAAAAAAUUAGAGUGCUCAAAGCAGGCGCGACGCCUGAAUAAUUGUGCAUGGAAUAAUGGAAUAGGACCUCGGUUCUAUUUUGUUGGUUUUCGGAACACGAGGUAAUGAUUAAGAGGGACAGACGGGGGCAUUCGUAUUGCGACGCUAGAGGUGAAAUUCUUGGACCGUCGCAAGACGAACUACUGCGAAAGCAUUUGCCAAGAAUGUUUCCAUUAAUCAAGAACGAAAGUUAGAGGUUCGAAGGCGAUCAGAUACCGCCCUAGUUCUAACCAUAAACGAUGCCAGCCAGCGAUCCGGCUGUGUUCCUCAAAUGACACGCCGGGCAGCUUCCGGGAAACCAAAGCUUUUGGGUUCCGGGGGAAGUAUGGUUGCAAAGCUGAAACUUAAAGGAAUUGACGGAAGGGCACCACCAGAAAUGGAGCCUGCGGCUUAAUUUGACUCAACACGGGAAAACUUACCCGGCCCGGACACAGGAAGGAUUGACAGAUUAAGAGCUCUUUCUUGAUUCUGUGGGUGGUGGUGCAUGGCCGUUCUUAGUUGGUGGGGCGACUUGUCUGGUUAAUUCCGAUAACGAACGAGACUCUAGCCUACUAAAUAGACGUUCCCAUCCUCUUGAGUGGGACGUUCUUCUUAGAGGGACAAGCGGCGUUUAGCCGCACGAGACAGAGCAAUAACAGGUCUGGGAUGCCCUUAGAUGUCCGGGGCCGCACGCGCGCUACAUUGAAGGAAUCAGCGUGUGCUUUCCCUGUCCGAAAGGACUGGGUAACCCGUUGAACCUCCUUCGUGCUGGGGAUUGGAAACUGUAAUUGAUUCCAUGAACGAGGAAUUCCCAGUAAGCACGAGUCAUCAGCUCGUGUUGAUUACGUCCCUGCCCUUUGUCCACACCGCCCGUCGCUACUACCGAUUGAAUGAUUUAGUGAGGUCUUCGGACUGGCGCUCGGAUUGGCCUUCGCGGUCGAGCCGUUGUGCCGGAAAGAUGACCAAACUUGAUCAUUUAGAGGAAGUAAAAGUCGUAACAAGGUUUU
rnacentral:rRNA from 1 species